rnacentral:rRNA from 1 species
GGCUCAGAUUGAACGCUGGCGGGAUGCUACACAUGCGAGUCGAACGGCAGCACGGACUUCGGUCUGGUGGCGAGUGGCGAACGGGUGAGUAAUGUAUCAGGAACGUGCCCGAAAGCGGGGGAUAACUACGCGAAAGCGUAGCUAAUGCCGCAUACGCCCUUCCAGGGAAAGCGGGGACCUUCGGGCCUCGCACUGGCAAACGGCCGAUAUCGGAUUAGCUAGUUGGUGGGGUAACGGCUCACCAAGGCGACGAUCCGUAGCUGGUUUGAAGGACGACCAGCCACACUGGGACUGGACACGGCCCAGACUCCUACGGGAGGCAGCGGUGGGGAAUUUUGGACAAUGGAAACCCUGAUCCAGCCAUCCCGCGUGUGCGAUGAAGGCCUUCGGGUUAUCGCGCUGCUUUUGGCAGGAAAGAAACUGGCAGGAUAAUACCCGAUGCAACUGACAGUACCUGCAGAAUAAGCACCGGCUAACUACGUGCCAGCAGCCGCGGUAAUACGUAGGGUGCAAGCGUUAAUCGGAAUUACUGGGCGUAAAGCGUGCGCGAGCGGUUCGGAAAGAAGAUGUGAAAUCCCAGGCUUAACUUUGGAACUGCAUUUUUUUAACUACCGAGCUAGAGUGUGUCAGAGGGAGGUGGAAUUCCGCGUGUAGCAGUGAAAUGCGUAGAUAUGCGGAGGAACACACGUGCUUGAAGGCAGCCUCCUGGGAUAACACUGACGCUCAUGCACGAAAGUAAGGGGAGCAAACAGGAUUAGAUACCCUGGUAGUCCACGCCCUAAACGAUGUCAGCAGCUGUUGGGGCCUUCGGGCCUUGGUAGCGCAACUAACGCGUGAAGUUGACCGCCUGGGGAAGUACGGUCGCAAGAUUAAAACUCAAAGGAAUUGACAGGGACCCGCACAAGCGGUGGAUGAUGUGGAUUAAUUCGAUGCAACGCACAAAAACAUACCUACCCUUGACAUGUCUGGAAUCCCGAAGAGAUUUGGGAGUGCUCUCGCAAGAGAACCGGAACACAGGUGCUGCAUGGCUGUCGUCAGCUCGUGUCGUGAGAUGUUGGGUUAAGUCCCGCAACGAGCGCAACCCUUGUCGACUGAAUUGCUACGAAAGGGCACUCUAAUGAGACUGCCGGUGACAAACCGGAGGAAGGUGGGGAUGACGUCAAGUCUCAUGACCCCUUAUGGGUAGGGCUUCACACGUCAUACAAUGGUCAGGACAGGGUCGCCAACCCGCGAGGGGGAGCCAAUCCCAGAAACCCGUCAGCGCAGUCCGGAUCGCAGUCUGCAACUCGACUGCGUGAAAGUCAGAAUCGCUAGUAAUCGCGGAUCAGCAUGUCGCGUGGGAAUACGUUUCCCGGGUCACCCCUUACACACACCGCCCGUCACACCAUGGGAGUGGGUUUUACCAGAAGUAGUUAGCCUAACCGUAAGGAGGGCGAUUACCACGGUAGGAUUCGCGAAGGCUAGGUGAAGUCAUGUCAAGGUAA